rnacentral:rRNA from 1 species
CUUGGCUUCACCCGUCUCCUUCGAAUCACACAUCCUAGCCAAGCUCCGAAAGACUCCACAGCCUCCCUUUUGUCACCUCAGGUUGCAACUUUUCGCCAUGGGAAGGAGUAAGCAGCCAUCACCUUUCCUUUCCUCUAGCUAGCCGGAUCCCCAUCGUCUCCAUGUUGCAGACAUCACCUUUGACCUUUCUUUUCUUUCCUCUAGCUAGCUCGCCGGAUCGAUCAUGCACGAUGUUAGUAAUAUCUACUUGAACCAACGCCGUUGUUGUUCAGGGCCUGCUCGGUGCUACCGCCAGAUCAAGAACAAGCCGUACCCCAAGUCGCGGUACUGCCGCGGGGUGCCGGACCCCAAGAUCCGCAUCUUCGACGUGGGGCAGAAGAAGCGGGGCGUGGACGAGUUCCCGCUGUGCGUGCACCUGGUGAGCUGGGAGAAGGAGAACGUGACGAGCGAGGCCCUGGAGGCGGCCCGGAUCGCCUGCAACAAGUACAUGGCCAAGCACGCCGGCAAGGACGCCUUCCACCUCCACGUGCGCGCGCACCCCUACCACGUCCUCCGCAUCAACAAGAUGCUCUCCUGCGCCGGCGCCGACCGGCUGCAGACCGGCAUGCGCGGCGCCUUCGGCAAGCCCACCGGGAUGUGCGCGCGGGUGCACAUCGGCCAGGUGCUGCUCUCGGUGCGCUGCCGCGACGCGCACGCGGCCCACGCGCAGGAGGCGCUGCGCCGGGCCAAGUUCAAGUUCCCCGGACGCCAGAGGGUCAUCGUCAGCGGCAAAUGGGGAUUCACCAAGUUUAAGCGCGAAGAGUAUCUCAAGCUCAAGAGCGAGGGCCGCAUCGUCCCCGAUGGUGUCAACGCCAAGUUGCUGACUUGGCACGGGUCGCUCGAGGGACGCCCGCGAGGAAAAGGUGUCUUUCCACCCUCCGUCGCCGAAUCGGCUUGAAGAUUACAACCUCCCGUUACGUGUCAGCCUUCGUCGGGUCCGGCCUGAAUAUCGAGUCUACCAUGCCAUAUGUUGUGACAGGAGCUGUCAUACGCACGUCCAGCUAGCUUUAUGUAUGCGAGUAAACGGAUAUAAACAUGUGGGGACUAUACUUGCGAUGGUAACAGUAUGAUGUCUAGUGUGUAGCUCGAGUUGGCAGCAUGCUUUAGGAACCUGUUUCGUCGUUAAACACGUUGUGAGCUUGGUUUUAUUCAUAAAUAAAGGUGAUUUGCAUCAGUGCAGUUAUAAGACCAUCGGGCACACGGUUAAAACCCUCUUUCGCAAACGCAAACUAAUCGUAUGUAAUGCCCGAACCUAUCACACACGUGAUUCCUGAUGUAAGCG